rnacentral:rRNA from 1 species
GAGCGGUAAGGCCCUUUCGGGGGUACACGAGCGGCGAACGGUUGAGUAACACUUGAUCAACCUGCCCUUCUCUUNGGAANAAACGUUGGAAACNACNUCUAAUGCCGAAUAUGACACCCUGUCG